AUUGAACGCUGGCGGCAGGCCUAACACAUGCAAGUCGAACGGUAACAGGAAACAGCUUGCUGUUUCGCUGACGAGUGGCGGACGGGUGGGUAAUGUCUGGGAAACUGCCUGAUGGAGGGGGAUAACUACUGGAAACGGUAGCUAAUACCGCAUAACGUCGCAAGACCAAAGAGGGGGACCUUCGGGCCUCUUGCCAUCGGAUGUGCCCAGAUGGGAUUAGCUAGUAGGUGGGGUAACGGCUCACCUAGGCGACGAUCCCUAGCUGGUCUGAGAGGAUGACCAGCCACACUGGAACUGAGACACGGUCCAGACUCCUACGGGAGGCAGCAGUGGGGAAUAUUGCACGAUGGGCGCAAGCCUGAUGCAGCCACGCCGCGUGUAUGAAGAAGGCCUUCGGGUUGUAAAGUACUUUCAGCGGGGUUGAAGGGAGUAAAGUUAAUACCUUUGCUCAUUGACGUUACCCGCAGAAGAAGCACCGGCUAACUCCGUG
rnacentral:rRNA from 1 species